GUGCGGUCACAAAAAACAUCGCUUUUUGAACGUUGGCUUUGCCAACGGCCUUUGGGGGAGCUAUCCUUAAAAGGAUUGCGAAUAAAAAUCCGAU
rnacentral:ncRNA from 18 species